rnacentral:rRNA from 1 species
GCGGCGGACGGGUGAGUAACACGUGGAUAACCUACCUAUAAGACUGGGAUAACUUCGGGAAACCGGAGCUAAUACCGGAUAAUAUUUUGAACCGCAUGGUUCAAAAGUGAAAGACGGUCUUGCUGUCACUUAUAGAUGGAUCCGCGCUGCAUUAGCUAGUUGGUAAGGUAACGGCUUACCAAGGCAACGAUGCAUAGCCGACCUGAGAGGGUGAUCGGCCACACUGGAACUGAGACACGAUCCAGACUCCUACGGGAGGCAGCAGUAGGGAAUCUUCCGCAAUGGGCGAAAGCCUGACGGAGCAACGCCGCGUGAGUGAUGAAGGUCUUCGGAUCGUAAAACUCUGUUAUUAGGGAAGAACAUAUGUGUAAGUAACUGUGCACAUCUUGACGGUACCUAAUCAGAAAGCCACGGCUAACUACGUGCCAGCAGCCGGGGUAAUACGUAGGUGGCAAGCGUUAUCCGGAAUUAUUGGGCGUAAAGCGCGCGUAGGCGGUUUUUUAAGUCUGAUGUGAAAGCCCACGGCUCAACCGUGGAGGGUCAUUGGAAACUGGAAAACUUGAGUGCAGAAGAGGAAAGUGGAAUUCCAUGUGUAGCGGUGAAAUGCGCAGAGAUAUGGAGGAACACCAGUGGCGAAGGCGACUUUCUGGUCUGUAACUGACGCUGAUGUGCGAAAGCGUGGGGAUCAAACAGGAUUAGAUACCCUGGUAGUCCACGCCGUAAACGAUGAGUGCUAAGUGUUAGGGGGUUUCCGCCCCUUAGUGCUGCAGCUAACGCAUUAAGCACUCC